rnacentral:sRNA from 1 species
UGCCAUUUGUAUAUAUUUGAACUGCACCGU